AACGCGAAGAACCUUACCUGGGUUAAAUCACUGGUGCAAAGCGCAGAGAUGUGUUCCCCCCGCAAGGGGCGCCAGUGAAGGUGCUGCAUGGCUGUCGUCAGCUCGUGUCGUGAGAUGUUGGGUUAAGUCCCGCAACGAGCGCAACCCUUACCGUUAGUUGCCACCAUUAAGUUGGGCACUCUAGUGGAACUGCCGGUGAUAAACCGGAGGAAGGUGGGGAUGACGUCAAGUCAUCAUGGCCUUUAUGUCCAGGGCUACACACGUGCUACAAUGGCCGGUACAAACCGCCGCAAACUCGCGAGAGGGAGCCAAUCGGAAAAAGCCGGUCUCAGUUCGGAUUGGAGUCUGCAACUCGACUCCAUGAAGUUGGAAUCGCUAGUAAUCGCAGAUCAGCACGCUGCGGUGAAUACGUUCCCGGGCCUUGUA
rnacentral:rRNA from 1 species